rnacentral:ncRNA from 2 species
GGUGUUCGCGGGCCGUGGUGGACUUCCGGGGCCAUCUACGGCGGCAGAAGAGGAAGCCCGGUGCGAAUCCGGCGCGGUCCCGCCACUGUGACCGGGGACAGGAUCCCCGGGAGCCAGGAACUCUCGCCGCCGUGCUCUUCGAA